GAUGAACGCUGGCGGCGUGCCUAAUACAUGCAAGUCGAGCGAACGGACGAGAAGCUUGCUUCUCUGAUGUUAGCGGCGGACGGGUGAGUAACACGUGGAUAACCUACCUAUAAGACUGGGAUAACUUCGGGAAACCGGAGCUAAUACCGGAUAAUAUUUUGAACCGCAUGGUUCAAAAGUGAAAGACGGUCUUGCUGUCACUUAUAGAUGGAUCCGCGCUGCAUUAGCUAGUUGGUAAGGUAACGGCUUACCAAGGCAACGAUGCAUAGCCGACCUGAGAGGGUGAUCGGCCACACUGGAACUGAGACACGGUCCAGACUCCUACGGGAGGCAGCAGUAGGGAAUCUUCCGCAAUGGGCGAAAGCCUGACGGAGCAACGCCGCGUGAGUGAUGAAGGUCUUCGGAUCGUAAAAAUCUGUUAUUAGGGAAGAACAUAUGUGUAAGUAACUGUGCACAUCUUGACGGUACCUAAUCAGAAAGCCACGGCUAACUACGU
rnacentral:rRNA from 1 species